AUUGAACGCUAGCGGGAUGCUUUACACAUGCAAGUCGAACGGCAGCACGAGAGAGCUUGCUCUCUUGGUGGCGAGUGGCGGACGGGUGAGUAAUAUAUCGGAACGUGCCCAGUAGCGGGGGAUAACUACUCGAAAGAGUGGCUAAUACCGCAUACGCCCUACGGGGGAAAGGGGGGGAUUCUUCGGAACCUCUCACUAUUGGAGCGGCCGAUAUCGGAUUAGCUAGUUGGUGGGGUAAAGGCUCACCAAGGCAACGAUCCGUAGCUGGUUUGAGAGGACGACCAGCCACACUGGGACUGAGGCACGGCCCAGACUCCUACGGGAGGCAGCAGUGGGGAAUUUUGGACAAUGGGGGAAACCCUGAUCCAGCCAUCCCGCGUGUAUGAUGAAGGCCUUCGGGUUGUAAAGUACUUUUGGCAGAGAAGAAAAGGUACCUCCUAAUACGAGGUACUGCUGACGGUAUCUGCAGAAUAAGCACCGGCUAACUACGUGCCAGCAGCCGCCGUAAGAC
rnacentral:rRNA from 1 species